rnacentral:rRNA from 1 species
CGGCCUUCGGGUUGUAAACCUCUUUCAGUAGGGAAGAAGCGAAAGUGACGGUACCUGCAGAAGAAGCGCCGGCUAACUACGUGCCAGCAGCCGCGGUAAUACGUAGGGCGCAAGCGUUAUCCGGAAUUAUUGGGCGUAAAGAGCUCGUAGGCGGUUUGUCGCGUCUGCCGUGAAAGUCCGGGGCUCAACUCCGGAUCUGCGGUGGGUACGGGCAGACUAGAGUGAUGUAGGGGAGACUGGAAUUCCUGGUGUAGCGGUGAAAUGCGCAGAUAUCAGGAGGAACACCGAUGGCGAAGGCAGGUCUCUGGGCAUUAACUGACGCUGAGGAGCGAAAGCAUGGGGAGCGAACAGGAUUAGAUACCCUGGUAGUCCAUGCCGUAAACGUUGGGCACUAGGUGUGGGGGACAUUCCACGUUUUCCGCGCCGUAGCUAACGCAUUAAGUGCCCCGCCUGGGGAGUACGGCCGCAAGGCUAAAACUCAAAGGAAUUGACGGGGGCCCGCACAAGCGGCGGAGCAUGCGGAUUAAUUCGAUGCAACGCGAAGAACCUUACCAAGGCUUGACAUGGACCGGACCGCCGCAGAGAUGUGGUUUCCCCUUUGGGGCCGGUUCACAGGUGGUGCAUGGUUGUCGUCAGCUCGUGUCGUGAGAUGUUGGGUUAAGUCCCGCAACGAGCGCAACCCUCGUUCUAUGUUGCCAGCACG